rnacentral:rRNA from 1 species
UACGGAGGGUGCGAGCGUUAAUCGGAAUUACUGGGCGUAAAGGGUGCGUAGGUGGUUUGUUAAGUUAUCUGUAAAAUCCCUGGGCUCAACCUGGGCAUGCCAGAUAAAACUGAUGGACUCGAGUACGGGAGAGGGUAGUGGAAUUCCCGGUGUAGCAGUGAAAUGCGUAGAGAUCGGGAGGAACACCAGUGGCGAAGGCGGCCUUCUGGACCAAUACUGACGCUCAUGCACGAAAGCGUGGGGAGCAAACAGG